rnacentral:tRNA from 1 species
UAUUUAAUAAUUUAAUGAAAAUAUUAAAUUGCAAAUUUAAAAAUAUCAAAUAUGAUUUAAAUAU